rnacentral:rRNA from 1 species
CGGCGGACGGGUGAGUAAUGCCUGGGAAAUUGCCCUGAUGUGGGGGAUAACCAUUGGAAACGAUGGCUAAUACCGCAUAAUAGCUUCGGCUCAAAGAGGGGGACCUUCGGGCCUCUCGCGUCAGGAUAUGCCCAGGUGGGAUUAGCUAGUUGGUGAGGUAAGGGCUCACCAAGGCGACGAUCCCUAGCUGGUCUGAGAGGAUGAUCAGCCACACUGGAACUGAGACACGGUCCAGACUCCUACGGGAGGCAGCAGUGGGGAAUAUUGCACAAUGGGCGCAAGCCUGAUGCAGCCAUGCCGCGUGUAUGAAGAAGGCCUUCGGGUUGUAAAGUACUUUCAGCAGUGAGGAAGGCGGGUACGUUAAUAGCGCGCUCGUUUGACGUUAGCUGCAGAAGAAGCACCGGCUAACUCCGUGCCAGCAGCCGCGGUAAUACGGAGGGUGCGAGCGUUAAUCGGAAUUACUGGGCGUAAAGCGCAUGCAGGUGGUUUGUUAAGUCAGAUGUGAAAGCCCGGGGCUCAACCUCGGAAUUGCAUUUGAAACUGGCAGACUAGAGUACUGU